AGAGUUUGAUCCUGGCUCAGGAUGAACGCUGGCGGCGUGCUUAACACAUGCAAGUCGAACGCACCUUCGGGUGAGUGGCGGACGGGUGAGUAACGCGUGGGAAUCUGCCCUCAGGAGGGGGAUAACGGCUGGAAACGGCCGCUAAUACCCCAUAUGCCGAGAGGUGAAACGAAUUUCGCCUGAGGAUGAGCCCGCGUCUGAUUAGCUAGUUGGUGGGGUAAUGGCCCACCAAGGCGACGAUCAGUAGCUGGUCUGAGAGGAUGAUCAGCCACACUGGGACUGAGACACGGCCCAGACUCCUACGGGAGGCAGCAGUGGGGAAUUUUCCGCAAUGGGCGAAAGCCUGACGGAGCAACGCCGCGUGAGGGAUGAAGGCCUCUGGGCUGUAAACCUCUUUUCUCAAGGAAGAAGACAUGACGGUACUUGAGGAAUAAGCCACGGCUAAUUCCGUGCCAGCAGCCGCGGUAAUACGGGAGUGGCAAGCGUUAUCCGGAAUUAUUGGGCGUAAAGCGUCCGCAGGCGGCCCUGUAAGUCUGUCGUUAAAGCGUGGAGCUUAACUCCAUUUAAGCGAUGGAAACUACAGGGCUUGAGUGUGGUAGGGGCAGAGGGAAUUCCCGGUGUAGCGGUGAAAUGCGUAGAUAUCGGGAAGAACACCAGUGGCGAAGGCGCUCUGCUGGGCCAUAACUGACGCUCAUGGACGAAAGCCAGGGGAGCGAAAGGGAUUAGAUACCCCUGUAGUCCUGGCCGUAAACGAUGAACACUAGGUGUCGGGGGAAUCGACCCCCUCGGUGUCGUAGCCAACGCGUUAAGUGUUCCGCCUGGGGAGUACGCACGCAAGUGUGAAACUCAAAGGAAUUGACGGGGGCCCGCACAAGCGGUGGAGUAUGUGGUUUAAUUCGAUGCAACGCGAAGAACCUUACCAGGGUUUGACAUCCUGCGAAUCCCUUGGAAACUAGGGAGUGCCUUCGGGAGCGCAGAGACAGGUGGUGCAUGGCUGUCGUCAGCUCGUGUCGUGAGAUGUUGGGUUAAGUCCCGCAACGAGCGCAACCCACGUCUUUAGUUGCCAGCAUUCAGUUGGGCACUCUAGAGAGACCGCCGGUGAUAAACCGGAGGAAGGUGUGGAUGACGUCAAGUCAUCAUGCCCCUUACAUCCUGGGCUACACACGUACUACAAUGCUACGGACAAAGGGCAGCAAGCUCGCGAGAGUUAGCAAAUCCCAUAAACCGUGGCUCAGUUCAGAUCGUAGGCUGCAACUCGCCUACGUGAAGGAGGAAUCGCUAGUAAUCGCAGGUCAGCAUACUGCGGUGAAUACGUUCCCGGGCCUUGUACACACCGCCCGUCACACCAUGGAAGUUGGCCAUGCCCGAAGUCGUUACUCCAACCCUUGUGGAGGAGGACGCCGAAGGUGGGGCUGAUGACUGGGGUGAAGUCGUAACAAGGUA
rnacentral:rRNA from 1 species